CCUACGGGCGGCAGCAGUGAGGAAUAUUGGUCAAUGGCCGGAAGGCUGAACCAGCCAUGCCGCGUGAAGGUCAGUGCCCUAUGGGCGUUAAACUUCUUUUGUGCAGGAGCAAUACUGGUAACGUGUGGCCAGACGAGAGUACCGUACGAAUAAGCAUCGGCUAACUCCGUGCCAGCAGCCGCGGUAAUACGGGAGAUGCAAGCGUUAUCCGGAUUUAUUGGGUUUAAAGGGUGCGUAGGCUGUGAGGUAAGUCAGCGGUGAAAUGCCCCCGCUCAACGGGGUGAAGUGCCAUUGAUACUGCCUUGCUGGAAUGCGGAUGCCGUGGGAGGAAUGUGUGGUGUAGCGGUGAAAUGCAUAGAUAUCACACAGAACACCGAUUGCGAAGGCAGCUCACGAAUCCGCGAUUGACGCUGAUGCACGAAAGCGUGGGUAUCAAACAGGAUUAGAUACCCUAGUAGUC
rnacentral:rRNA from 1 species